GGAGGAAAGUAGGGGAUCGAAAGACCUUAUGCUUUUGGAGCGGCCGAUGUCUGAUUAGCUAGUUGGUAGGGUAAUGGCUUACCAAGGCGACGAUCAGUAGUUGGUCUGAGAGGACGACCUGCCACACUGGGACUGAGACACGGCCCAGACUCCUACGGGAGGCAGCAGUGGGGAAUUUUGGACAAUAGGCGCAAGCCUGAUCCAGCAAUGCCGCGUGAGUGAAGAAGGCCUUCGGGUUGUAAAGCUCUUUUAGUUGAAAAGAAAGAAUCGCGAUUAAUAAUCGCGAUUUAUGACGGUAUCAACAGAAAAAGCACCGGCUAACUACGUGCCAGCAGCCGCGGUAAUACGUAGGGUGCGAGCGUUAAUCGGAAUUACUGGGCGUAAAGGGUGCGCAGGCGGUCUUGCAAGUCAGAUGUGAAAGCCCCGGGCUUAACCUGGGAAUUGCGUUUGAAACUACAAAGCUAG
rnacentral:rRNA from 1 species